rnacentral:lncRNA from 1 species
GUGCCCAACAUUGAGAACGCUAAUGAGAACGAACCAUGCAACUCCCACUAUUGAAAAGUGAGUGGAAGUGGGGGAGAAUCGGGCAGGGGCUUUGGGGGCAGGGUUGAAAUCUUGAGAAAAGGGACUGGCAGGGGUUUCGGAAGCGUUGGGGCCUCCUGCCCUGCCCUGCCCUGCCACUCUGGGAGUAUGAAAAGGUCAACCCCAAAGCCUAACUGGGCACCUGUCAGAAACCACGGGCAGACACUGGAAACUUUCACUUGGAUGCUCGGUCAUAGGGGCGUUCGUGGUCAUGAUGCCACUCUUAUGUUUGAACGUCGUGGGCUGUAAGUGUUUUUAUUUUAUUUUAUUUUAUUUUUACAAUGAGGGGGUUAUUCUCUUCAGUUUAUAGGGUUGACAUUUGUAAUACCACGGUAUUUUUUUUGUUUUUAUUUAUUUUCAUUUUCAUUUUUUUCUGACUGGGUUAUCAAACUAUUCCAAAGUAGAAGAUUUUCAUUUAUGGGUGAGCUGCAAGCUAUAAACAUGGUGUGUGGGUAGGAGCUCUGGGAUCAAUUAACAGGCUGAUAGUGGACAAAAAUAUAGUGCCAAAGACGGGGAGCUUCCACCAAGUGCCCUGUGACCAGAAAACAAGGCAAUGAACAAGCUUGUGGGAUUCAUUAAACUCAAGGCAUUUACUCAUCCUUUCCAUUGACAUGUUCAUCAAUAUAUGUAUAUAUACAUAUAUAUAUAUAUCUAGAGUUCUCCGAGGAUGACCACAAGUGUGUGUGUGUGGGGGGGAGGAGAUAGAAGCUCUUUCAGUUAUUCAUGGAUUGAAUAUGUGUAUGGAUGAGAAUAGACACUUGGACAAAUGGAGUAGUCUCUCAAUAUUUAGCUUUAUUUUGUUACUUGGUUGGAGAGUUUUGAGAAAAUGAUGUUCAUUUCACUACAUCAACAUUUGGAUUAAAACAUCAUAUUCUGAAAUAAAGUAAUGUUCUUUGAGUUGUAUAUAACUAUAUAUAUGCAUUGGUUUUAGUUGCUAUUCUUUUCUAUGUAUGUAAAAAUCAAUAAAUAAGUGUACCUAUUAUAUGUUGCUAGUGCAAAUAUCCUGAUUAUAUAUAUUUUUUACAUUUGAAAGAGAAUUUAAAAUAUAACAUUUUUUGAAUAGUUCUUAUGAAAAAACUAUCUCUCUAAAUUUGGCUGAAUAGCAAAACAUAGAAUUCACUUUUUCAUUUUUUUUCUCAAACCAUCAAAGUAAGUAUGGCUUGUUCAUUAAUUUCUACACAAAGCAACUUUCUAAAAUGUUUGUAUGCAGGUAUUUCACAAUGGAUAGAGUCAAGGCCAUAUGAAGGCGCAUUUUGAUUUUCUAUUAUUCAAAUACUACUUCACAUAUUUAUAACAUUCAAUGCUUUGAAUUUCCAACAAGUGAAUAUGUUCUCAUUAGAAACUACAAACAGGAAGUUUUAGGUCAAUCAACCUUCAUUGUGAACUUUCCUUGAAACCUUUACAUUUUGAAACAAACAGUUCAUAUAUCAAACAAAAAUAAUUUAUAAAUUUUAGACAUUUUGGUGUGGUCAGAUAGUAAUGAUAUAUUUAACCCCAUGGUUUGAAUAUAG